rnacentral:rRNA from 1 species
AUGGCCAUGAACCCUCACCGCCGCGCGUCCCAUGCCACUACCGUCGCCCGUGACGGCCCUUCCCCGAGCGUGCUUCCUUCCUCGCCCUUGCUGCCUGCCCACGGGUCACGCGGCCUGAGGCCGGCGACUAGCGCCGCCGUGGCCGUCCGUCUACUUCCUCCUUCAUCCGCCCCGGGAAGCCUCCGCCGUGCCAAGUCCCUGUGCCCGCGCCCUGCUUCUCCUCUCGCGCCGCAGCUCCGUCCGCGAGCUCGUGGAACCAUGGCUGCCACAGGAGCCUCGCGCUCGACCCCCUCGAUGGGACCAUGGUUGCUCAUGACCCCGCCUUCCUGCACCUCCACACGCCACCUACCGCUGCUCCGCCUCGAUCGAGCUCCAUCCCCUGCUUUCACUGGAUCGCCAAGAUGCAGCCCCGACACCGUUGGCCCCUUCCUCCUUCAACGUUCGAGCCUUCAUGCCCAAGGCCUUCGUCAUCUCCCUGUGAUGCACUCCGUGCGACCGUGA